AAUGUUAAAUACAUGUUUGUUGAAUUUCUUUGAAACUUUAAUAUUAAUGAGAACUAUUAACUUUUUUUUUUUCAGAUGCAGUCUCACCUUGUCGCCUAGGCUGGAGUAUAGUGGUGUGAUCUCAGCUCACUGCAACCUCCGCCUUCCAGAUGAUAGUGUCGAACACAGUGGAACAAAGAAAGAAGAUCUGGAUGACAAAGAAAAAUGAUGAAGAAGAAACUCCUGCACCUGUCCAAAUGUCUGCCAGGCUGUUGUUGCUUCAGCUGUGGGACAGCGGGGCACAGGAGACUGACAAUGAGCGUUCUGCCCAGGGCACCAGCGC
rnacentral:lncRNA from 1 species